GGGGCCACUCACACCCCUUGAAACUGGAAGGCAAAUGCCUGAUCCACCCAUGCCGCGUGAGUGAAGAAGGCCUUCGGGUUGUAAAGCUCUUUCGGCGGGGAAGAAAUCGCAUUCUCUAAUACAGGAUGUGGAUGACGGUACCCGAAUAAGAAGCACCGGCUAACUACGUGCCAGCAGCCGCGGUAAUACGUAGGGUGCGAGCGUUAAUCGGAAUUACUGGGCGUAAAGCGUGCGCAGGCGGUUUCGUAAGACAGACGUGAAAUCCCCGGGCUCAACCUGGGAACUGCGUUUGUGACUGCGAGGCUAGAGUUUGGCAGAGGGGGGUGGAAUUCCACGUGUAGCAGUGAAAUGCGUAGAGAUGUGGAGGAACACCGAUGGCGAAGGCAGCCCCCUGGGCCAAUACUGACGCUCAUGCACGAAAGCGUGGGGAGCAAACAGGAUUAGAUACCCUGGUAGUCCACGCCCUAAACGAU
rnacentral:rRNA from 1 species